UCGCCGGAUCGCGUGCUGCUCGCUAGGGGUGUCGUCUUAGAGAUCGGGACUGGCUGGGAUUGCAAAAAAUCAACAUGCCUUUGGCUAGAGAUUUACUACACCCGUCCUUGGAAGAGGAAAAGAAAAAAACAUAAAAAGAAACGGCAAGUUCAGAGCCCAAAUUCCUAUUUUAUGGACGUAAAAUGUCCAGGUUGCUACAAGAUUACCACGGUUUUCAGCCGUGCUCAGACGGUGGUUCUUUGUGUAGGCUGUUCAACAGUGUUGUGCCAGCCAACAGGAGGAAAGGCCAGACUCACAGAGGGGUGUUCGUUUAGAAGAAGGCAACACUAAUGAUCCACACAGCCUCUCGAAUUUGUGUUAUAUCGCAGAAAGCCUUAUCAGUUCAGUAAUUCCAGUUAUCUACCAAGAUAAUGUAAUUAUGUUUAAUUUUGUAAGGUUUACAACAGUGAUGUCCUAUUUUGGUGUCAGUUUUUCAAUAAAGUUUUGAUUAUGGGCAAAAAAAAAAA